AAGUAUGUUGGCUUGAGAAGCAUCAGAACUAAAGGUUGAAUAUAAGCAAGUGUGAUUCCAACAACUACGAUAUUCUGUGAGCUUCUGCCACCUCACUAUCUUCAACUUGUUGGAGUACUGGCCAACCUCAUGGAACCACAGCAUGGUUCUUCCAUCCCACCCUUAUCUUAUCAAGGAAACACACCUCAGUAUUCUUCAUAUGGUGGUGGAUACCAGAGUCGUAGUACAACAAAAAAGAUUGAUAUCCCAAAUGGAAGAAAUCAUUAUCUUUCGGAAGAUUCAAGGACGUUCGAGGAGUGACCAGUACCAUUGAAGACUUUGGUGAGCGAGGCAAGCAACCUACUUUGAUCAUGUUGAACCCAUAUUUGCAUUACACUUAGAAUUAUUUUUCAUGCAUAAAGUAUUUUUUACUAGUAUUGCUAUUAAGCAGAUUAGCUAGGGUUUUAGCUAUGCCCUAUGUGCUUGAUUUUGACACCCCUUUGACAUUCUUAUGCUAAGUAAAUUAGCUAGGGUUUAGCUAUGCUCUAUGUGCUUGAUAUUGACACCCCCCUUUGAUAAUACCCUGUGCAAGUUUGACAGUAAUGCUUAGCCAUGCUAGUCGCAUAAGUCAUAGAACUUGGGAAGAAUCUUUGUUACUCAUAAAUGUUUUACAAAAACCUAAGGGUGUCACUGAUGCCCAUGGUAUGAUUCUGAAAAUAAGGUUGUAUAAAAUGGAGUUGAAGUGGAGAUUUAGUUAGGUGAUUGUGAUCUUUGACGAGAUAGUCAAAGAUGUUCGGUGGAUUAUAAAAAUUUAUGUAUAGUAAAUGAGCAUGGUGGUUAUUCUAUUGGCGGAUAAAUGGAUCUUCAAUAAACUUGAAGCAGUUUGGAUUUAGUUAGGCGAUUAUAAUCUUGAACCAAAUUUCAUGGUGGAUUGUAAGCUUUCGAUGCAUUUAUUUAGUUCAUUGUGAUCUUGAGGAGAUAGUCAAAGAUGUUCGGUGCAUUAAUUAAUCUUGGACAAUUUGGAUUUAGUUAGGUGAUUGUGAUAUUGAACCGUAUUUCAUGAUGAAUUAUGAGAUUUUAGGUGGAUUUAGUCACAUGAUUUAAUCUUGAGAAGAUAGUCUAAUGUUUGGUUGAUUAUGAGAUUUUAGGUAUGGUAGAUGAGCAUGGUGAUUAUUAUACUGGUGGAUAAAUAGAUCUUUAAUUUUGUUUGGACCAUUUAGGAUUUAGUUAGGUGGUUUAGAUCUUAAACCAAAUUUCAUGGUGGAUUAUGAGGUUUUGGUCGGAUUUAGUUAGGUGAUUGUGAUCUUGACGAGCUAGUAAAAGAUGUUUGGUGUAUUAUGUGAAUUUAGGUCUAGUAGGUGAGCAUGGUGGUUAUUAUAUCGAUGAAUAAGUAAAUUUUUAACAAACUUAAGAAAAAAUGGAUUUAGUUAGGCGAUUGUGGUCUUGAACUAAAUUUCAUGGUGAAUUACGAUAUUUUAGAUGGAUUUAGUCAGUUGAUUGUGAUCCGGAGGAGAUACUCAAAGAUGUUCAAUGGAUUAAUUAUCCUUCAAUAAUUUGAAUUUCGUUAGGCUAUUGUGAUAUUGAACUGAAUUUCAUGAUGAUUUGUGUGAUUUUAGGUGGAUUUAAUUAUGUUAUUAUGAUCUUGAGAAGAUGACAAAGGUAUUUGGUGGAUUUUAAGAUUUUAGGUCUAGUAUAUGUGAGCAUGAGGACUAUUAUAUUGGUGGAUAAAUAGACCUCUAAUUUAGUUUGAAACAAUUUAAAUUUAAUUAGAUGAUUGUGAUCUUUUAACCAAAUUCAUGGUGGAUUUUGAUGUUUGGGUUGGUUUUAGUUAGGUGAUUGUGAUCUUAACGAGAUAGUCAAAGAUGCUUGAUGGAUUAUGUUAGAAUUUAUGUCUAGUAAGUGAGCACGGUGGUUAUUAUAUUGGUGGAUAAAUGGAUUUUUAGUAAACUUAGAGUAAUUUGGAAUUAGUUAGGCGAUUGUGAUCUUGAACCAAAUUUCAUGGUGAAUUAUGAGAUUUUGAAUGAAUUUAAUUAGUUGAUUGAGAUCUUGAGUGUCACAGCCUUAGAAUUGGUUGUAACUAGUUGCACAAGCACUCAUGCAUCAUGUAUAUAUUUAUGAAAGUUGAAUUGGGGAAAGUGGAAAGCCUCAGAAGUCUUUUAUAAAAAUGAUCAACACUAAAAAUUGUUUCAAAUAAACCCAAGAAAAUGUUCCUGUCAAGCUAUAAAAAUAUUGUCAA